GUUUUUAAUAACUGUCAUCAAAAGAGUGGCUUAACUGUAAAGUGAAAAUGUAAUAAAAAAAUGCAAUGCAUUACACAUUAGCAACUUAAAACAAAUCAGCUUUACUCAGCUUCUUUCCUUAGAAUUGUUACAUACAAUAUUCUCUUCACAAAAGAUUAAGUUGUUUUCUCAUCAUUGUAGAUUCCAAAGUACAAGUCAUUUAGGUUCAAUUACUUAUUCAUCUUUAUUACCUGGUCUGCUAGAUACAAUAGAAUGACUACCAGUAAAUAUUGAGAAACGUCCAUUCCGUUAUUUCCUUAAGUGUUCUCCAUGGAAUUUAGAUCUUUGGGAUGCUGCAUUACAUAAAGGAAGUAACCCAUCUUCGGUCAGUGCAGUGCAAGUACACUCCAGGGAACCACAGCUCCAAGUUGCUCUUCCUCUCCUGCAAAAUCACUCUUGGGGUUACCGCUCUUACCUAAAAAGGCCAGGGGAGAACAGGAUCAGUUCUGGGACAGAUGGAAAAUUGAAAUACAAGAUUUGCUACCAGAUGAAUUCAGACACGCUUCAUAUAAUGGCCAAGCAAUGAUGAUCUCCUCUCUCUAUAAGCUCUCUGCCCAGAAUUAUAGCCUCAGUAACAAACUUAUUAGGUUCCAUUUUCAACUAAAGUGCUUCAGAGUCACUAUAUUGUACACCUGAAACUAAUAUAACCUUGUAUGUUAGUUAAAUGGAAUUAAAAACUUAAAAAUAAAAUGGUAAAAAAAAAG
rnacentral:lncRNA from 12 species